CUACGGGAGGCAGCAGUGGGGAAUCUUGCGCAAUGGGCGAAAGCCUGACGCAGCAACGCCGCGUGCGGGAUGAAGGCCUUCGGGUUGUAAACCGCUUUCAGGAGGGACGAAAUUGACGGUACCUCCAGAAGAAGCCCCGGCCAACUACGUGCCAGCAGCCGCGGUAACACGUAGGGGGCAAGCGUUGUCCGGAUUUAUUGGGCGUAAAGAGCUCGUAGGCGGCUUAGUAAGUCGGGUGUGAAACCUCCAGGCUCAACCUGGAGACGCCACCCGAUACUGCUGUGGCUAGAGUCCGGUAGGGGAGCGUGGAAUUCCUGGUGUAGCGGUGAAAUGCGCAGAUAUCAGGAGGAACACCAGCGGCGAAGGCGGCGCUCUGGGCCGGAACUGACGCUGAGGAGCGAAAGCGUGGGGAGCAAACAGGAUUAGAAACCCCUGUAGUCCC
rnacentral:rRNA from 1 species